rnacentral:rRNA from 1 species
GAUGAACGCUGGCGGCGUGCUUAACACAUGCAAGUCGAACGGAAAGGCCUCUGCUUGCAGGGGUACUCGAGUGGCGAACGGGUGAGUAACACGUGGGUGAUCUGCCCUGCACUUCGGGAUAAGCCUGGGCAACUGGGUCUAAUACCGGAUAGGACAAUGGUUUGGAUGCUGUUGUGGAAAGUUUUUCGGUGUGGGAUGAGCUCGCGGCCUAUCAGCUUGUUGGUGGGGUGAUGGCCUACAAAGGCGUCGACGGGUAGCCGGCCUGAGAGGGGGUACGGUCACAUUGGAACUGAGAAACGAGCCACGGUCCUACGUGAGGCAGGAGGGAGGAAUAGGGAACAAUGGGCGCAGGGCGGAUGCAGGGACGAGGAGUGGGGGGUGAGGGCCGAAGGGUUGUAAGCUCCAAUCGCUAGGGACGAGGCGUGUUAGUGACGGUACCGGGAGAAGAAGCACCGGCUAACUACGUG